CACGUAGGGCGCAAGCGUUGUCCGGAAUUAUUGGGCGUAAAGAGCUCGUAGGCGGUCUGUUGCGUCCGCUGUGAAAACUCGGGGCUUAACCCCGAGCCUGCAGUGGAUACGGGCAGACUAGAGGUAGGUAGGGGAGAAUGGAAUUCCCGGUGUAGCGGUGAAAUGCGCAGAUAUCGGGAGGAACACCGGUGGCGAAGGCGGUUCUCUGGGCCUUACCUGACGCUGAGGAGCGAAAGCGUGGGGAGCGAACAGGAUAGAUA
rnacentral:rRNA from 1 species